UACAGAGGUCUCAAGCGUUUGUUCGGAUUCAUUGGGCGUAAAGGGUGCGUAGGUGGCGCGCUAAGUCAGGUGUGAAAUUUCGGAGCUUAACUCCGAAACUGCAUUUUGAUACUGGCGUGCUUGAGGACUGGAGAGGAGACUGGAAUUCAUGGUGUAGCAGUGAAAUGCGUAGAGAUCAUGAGGAAGACCAGUGGCGAAGGCGGGUCUCUGGACAGUUCCUGACACUGAGGCACGAAGGCCAGGGGAGCAAACGGG
rnacentral:rRNA from 1 species